GGAGACAUGGCCAAGUGGUAAGGCAGGAGCCUGCAAAGCUCUUAUCCCCAGUUCAAAUCUGGGUGUCUCCU
rnacentral:tRNA from 2 species